AUGUCUACAGGGCGUGGCAGGCGACCAUACCUUCGUCUCCAUCCUGGGUGAGUGCUCAGAUGCUUGUGGCCGGUCUGCACCCUCGCCUGUUCCCACAGCAGUCGCCGAGCAGAUGAGCGCUCUGCACUUGAUACACUCGCCGUCGGCAACUCCCCGGCCGGCAUCGACAGAACAGGAUAGCGAAGAGGCUCCAUUGGUAUGUCGCUGUCAUUCACUUCCUCUAUCAGCGUUCUACUGCACGAACACACCCACGACAGGAAAAUUCAGAUCUUGCAGGAAUUACAAACCCAAAUCAAUCUAGGGCCGACGAAGCAGACACAAGGGGCAAGAGUCGCACCUGUUGACCGGCUGCAGCAAGAACUCCAUGGCCGCCGGAGCCGCGUCACCGCAACCCUAAGGGAUGGAGCCGCCGCCGCUGAGCCGCUCUUUUGCAUUUACUGCACCACAAUGACGUCGCUUAGCACGCUUGAAUCACGGACCAGAAAUUCGCUCAUGUCUCGAGCCACGGCUCUGACGCCCGUUCUCGACGGCCUCGAAUAGCCAC
rnacentral:lncRNA from 1 species